rnacentral:rRNA from 1 species
GACGUAGGUGGCGAACGUUAUCCGGAAUUAUUGGGCGUAAAGGGUGCGCAGAUGGUCUGACAAGUUAGCAGUGGCAAAUCGAGGCUCAACCCCGUGGAAACUGGUAAUACUGUCUGACUCGAGUACAGGAGAGGUUAACGGAACUCCAUGUGGAGCGGUAAAAUGUGUAGAUAUAUGGAAGAACACCAAUAACGGCGAAGGCAGUUAACUAUUCUGUUACUGACAUUGAGGCACGAAAGCGUGGGGAGCAAAACGG